rnacentral:tRNA from 1 species
UAAGCAAGAAAUGAUAUAUCAUAUAUGAUUUCGGCUCAUACCUUAGAUGUUAAUUACAUCCUUGCUUA